GUUGUCGUGAUCGAGUGGUUAAGGCGAUAGACUAGAAAUCUUUUGGGAUUUUCUCGCGCAGCUUCGAAUCCUGCCGACGUCG
rnacentral:tRNA from 1 species